GGAUGAGACACUUAUACUCUAUAAAACCCACCAAAGAUAAGAGAAGAGAGAUAAUGCAUCCUGCAGUGUAUCUACUUAUGUGAAUGCACAACCCAUUGUCACAAUAGAGCUCUUUCCAUUUACAUAUCAUAUUGGAGAUGAUAUACUCUAACAAUCAAUGACUUCAAGUAACAACACAUACCAACCUGAUUAAAAAUGCAUACUAUAGAAAACACACAAUACAAUAAUAAAUGGGUGAAUUAAUACA